UCUAAAUGGGAGCGCAGCGCACCCAAGCCCGAGGCUCUGGGGAGAUACGGAGCUCAGCCCCAGUCUCAGCCGCCCCGGGGCUCAUUAAUAUGCCUGGCACAUUUCUUCGCUGGCUCCCUAAUUAGCAAAUACCGAAGGAGGAUUAAAGCAGAGAGAUGCAAACACAAGGGAUAACUACCUGGGCGUGGUAAAUGUACUUUCCAUAUUUCACUUAUCUGUUGACGCAGGGGAUUACUUCGUGCAACAUGUCACAGCGGGGUUUGACUGCAGCGCUUGCUCCAGUGCCUUCAGAAGGGUCGAUAAACCGUAAGGCUCGAGCACACUACAUACAAAUAGCUGAAAGAGGAGCUGAAAGCGGACCUGGGCUAAAGAAGCAUUCA